AAUCAACGCUGGCGGCGUGCCUCAGACAUGCAAGUCGAACGAUUAAACUUUCCUUCGGGGAAGAUAUAGAGUGGCGCACGGGUGAGUAACACGUAAGUAAUCUACCCUUGGGUGGGAAGUAACAUCGGGAAACCGAUGCUAAUACCGCAUAAUGCAGCGGCUUCUUAUGAAGACAGUUGUUAAAGCAUUUAUGUGCCUGAGGAGGAGCUUGCGGCAGAUUAGCAGUUGGUAAGGUAAUGGCUUACCAAGGCGACGAUCUGUAGCCGACCUGAGAGGGUGGUCGGUCACACUGACACUGAA
rnacentral:rRNA from 1 species